rnacentral:SRP_RNA from 1 species
GCUGGGUGUGGUGGUGCAUGCCUGUAAUCCCAGCUACUUGGGAGGCUGAAGCAUGAGAAUCACUUGAACCCAGGAGGCAGAGGUUGCAGUGAGCUGAGAUUGAGCCACUGCACUUCAGCCUGGGUGACAGAGUGAGACCCUGUCUCAA